UUUUGGUUAAUUUGGGUUUAAGAGUCUAAAAUUAAGUUUUUUUAAUUUUUUUAGGAUUUUCGAAUAAAAAUUUAGAUAAUUUGCAUAUUUAAAAAUUUUUGGAUUAAAAUAAUAUUAUGGUAAUUAUCUUUUUGGGUAUUUUGUUUUAUAAUUAAUAUUUUAUUUCACUAUUUAAAAAAAAAUAUACACAAUAUUUAUAAAUAUAUAAAUUUAGGUACCCAUUCAGUUUCAUAUCGGUUUUGGUUCUUUGGUUCUAGAGAUAUAAGAUCUAUU
rnacentral:lncRNA from 1 species